GAGUUUGAUCCUGGCUCAGAACGAACGCUGGCGGCGUGCUUAACACAUGCAAGUCGAACGUGAUCCGGAGCUUGCUCCGGUGAAAGUGGCGCACGGGUGAGUAACGCGUGGAUAAUCUGCCCUGGUAUCUGGGAUAACAUCUCGAAAGGGGUGCUAAUACCGGAUAAGCCUACGGACUCUUCGGAGUCUGCAGGAAAAGGUGGCCUCUAUUUAUAAGCUUCCGUAUCAUGAUGGGUCCGCGUACCAUUAGCUAGUUGGUGGGGUAAUGGCCUACCAAGGCGACGAUGGUUAGCUGGUCUGAGAGGAUGAUCAGCCACACUGGAACUGAGACACGGUCCAGACUCCUACGGGAGGCAGCAGUGGGGAAUUUUGCGCAAUGGGGGAAACCCUGACGCAGCAACGCCGCGUGAGUGAUGAAGGCUUUCGGGUCGUAAAGCUCUGUCAGAGGGGAAGAAAUGAAACGUGCUAAUAUCACGUUUUCUUGACGGUACCCUCAAAGGAAGCACCGGCUAACUCCGUGCCAGCAGCCGCGGUAAUACAAGGGUSYYYYMRRCARAUAUYCAUCACACUKKCGGCCGGGGCGAGCAGGSAUAAAGWGGRCCGGAAWAAAACACCMURRAARUKYU
rnacentral:rRNA from 1 species